UCCCUAAAAAUUUAGGUCUCAUCAUUUCCUCUCGAAUUACAGAAAAAUAAAGGUAUUCACUGAUUUCACCAGAUCUCCGGUUGUUAGAAAGGAUAUUUUGGCCACCGAGAGGAACCGGAACUAUCGCACUGAAGCUCUGCUGCUGUUUUAAGGUAUAAAAAUCUCUUGGGAAUUAUGACUUGAAUUCCGCUUAUAAUUGAAUUCCGUAGUAGAAAAAUGAUCACUCCUCAGAUAAAAUGUGAUAAGAUCAUCGGUAGCUCUGAGUUACUGUUUCCUUUAUCCAUUAGUGGACCUUCAUGUAUAAGCUGACAAGAGGAAAACUUAAAUAAGCCACCAAAUUUUGACGCCCCAAAAUCAAUCAAGUUUAACCAUUUCCACUAGCUCACAAUUGACUCCGUAGAACUGUGAAUCCACUUCCUUGUAAGAAAUGAGUUUUCAUGUUCAGAUACUGAUAGCGAACUCGUCUAACCUGGUGGCACUUUAAAGCGCAUCUCAAAUGCUGGUUGGCCUGCUAUCGGUGAAGAGAAUGACUGAUCCGGUAGGUAACUACAAGGUGGUAGUUAGUCUUCAUCAACUGGCUUGUGGUCUUCAAACAGAUUGAUUUUUUACUUGUGCGCUUUUUGAUGCAUGGGGAAUCACAAUACCUCAACUGCAUCCAUCGCUUUGGCUUGCGCUGGCAAGUACAAGGUCGCCCUUGGAAAAUCUUCUCUUGUGAAUGGUAAAAUAGAAACUCAAGAUUCCGGAUCAAUGGGUUUACCAAAAGUUAUAGAGAGUGGGAUAAGCAAUUUUUACAAAUUUCAGAGAUGGCGAAAGGAACAUACAGACAACGUCUCUGCUAUUCCAACUGAUAAAAAACUCAGCAGUGAUCUCCUAACCGAUGGUAGCAAUGGUGAGAGUGAUGAUGGAAUGAAACGCUUCUUUAAUUUACCGGACAGAUUAUUCGAAUUUUCUCUUUCCAGUGAGUAUGUUGAAUGUAAACGAAGUCUUGCUCCUAACUAAUGUUGUUCCUCUUAAUAGAAGACCAGGGGUCACAACCAUUGAUUGAGACUCUAACAGUGAUGAAUGUAGCUUUCCUAUGGUAAAAAAUAUCAACCCAGUGAACACCCAUUGAAGUCAAGAGACUUCUUCUUCUAGCAUAAUGAGAAUAUCUCGAAAUAUAUACAAGACGCGUCCAAUCAGGGACAAGACCUUAGUCGCCAGUCGUUCUGAAACAUGCCGAGGUGAGGCAAAGCUCAAAAGGCUUCGCAAAGGAAUUCAACCUAAGUCCGUCACACUCCCAUCAUCGUCUGAAAAGGUCUCAGGUUUGUUGACUCUCCUGCUGACUUUUUUUUGUUCCUCUCUGGGAGAAAAUUGAGAGUGAGAGCCCGAACGGCUCCAAAAUCGGUGAUUGCUCAGAGAACCCCCUUGAGGAUGAAACCCCAAGGGCGGUUCCUACGAUAGUGCCUGGCAUUCCCUUCUCCAUGGGUGAUCGUGUUAGUGAUCGUAACUUCCCCAUUUUCGCACCCUGAUGAUAAAUCUCAUUGUUUUCUCAAGAUGAUGCUUUGAAUGCUGCCGAAGUUAACGAAAACCAGAAAGGCGCAGAUCCGUCGUCCACCACCAACAAUGUUCCAGUUCCUCCAAAUCCAGAGCUCACAAAUACUCGAACAAUGAAAGGACAGCCAAAAAAGAGGAAAACCACCGACUUUGUCUCUGCACCUCCCUCAGAAAGACAAUACUGCACCGGUGCGCAGGAAGGUCUGUUUACAAGCUCGGGCCAUGGACUUAAAGGUAGUGGCUCUCACACGAGGUGACAUGCGGAACAGCACACCGUUGUUCAUAGAGCUUUCUCCAAUCAUGUCUCCGUGUCCAACACCUCUAGCCUCUGGUCCUACAUGCAAUUUCUCGGACUUCCCUUGGCUCAUGAAAAAUAUGACGAAGAACUUCAACAAGGUAAAUCCCAAAUCUUACUCUUCCUUGGUCGCUCAUUAGAAAAUUAAUACUUGAGUGCAGCGAUAAAAACAUCGAACAUUCUCUUGUCCUUCGUCUUUGCUGUCUGAAAUUCUAAAUGCUAAGGGUACUGGAUACUUGAAAAACACUUCUCGGGUGGAGGAGCUAUUACUGUUUGUUGGAAUAACAUACUGACUGAUUUUUCUGCAUAACUUAUCAACUGAACCUUCCUGUUGGGAUAUUUUGGGAGCCUUACUAACUUCAGGUGUUACUGUGCAUAUAUAUGUGUAUAUGUAUGUAUCUUUUCCUUUCUGUCCUUCCCAUCCGUCUUUCCCUUCCUUUUAUUUAUUGAAUGCAGAUAAUGAGCUCCAUCUCAUUCUUGAACAACACAUGCUCUCACUGUACUUCAUGAACCGAUCGUGAUCUUGAAAUUGGGAAAGACAUUCUGGUGCUCAGGACCAUGGUCGACGAGUUGAAAGAAUGCUGUGAAAGACCAUAAAAGACCAUGAAGAAGAGAUAUCUCGUCACAAAGAUUUAAAAGCCACCAUUCUUGAGUGCAGCGAGUCUAGACAAAAGAUCUCUGAACUUGAGUCGCUUCUUCUAGCUAGAACUAACGAACUUUCUCGAGUAUAUCAGGGAUUGCAGGUUUGAAAAUCUCGAGAGAAUAACCUGGAUCGAAUCAGGAAUGCUUUAUCAGCAGCCUUAACCGAUGCCAAUACGCUGUCUGCAAUACCGUAGGUAAUAGAUGUACUUCAAACUGACUUUAUCUGGCUAAUAAUUCUUCUUGACCCCCAUUUUACUGUAGAUGUAGCACUUUGUAUAUUCAGCUAGUCUUCUUGUGCAAUUAUUGAUCCAUCCACAUCCAAGUACUCACAUCACUUGUCGGUCUUGAAAAGAACUCAUUUAAUCCUUCACUAUGUAUAUAGUGUAGUCGCCACUAUGUAAA